rnacentral:lncRNA from 1 species
AAGGAGAUGGAACCUUGCCCGCUCCCCACACUGCGUGAGUCCGAGUCACGGGACAAGUUUCUGUAAGGGAGCUAACGAGUCCUCGUAUUUGUGACUUUUUUUUCAUUGCUGUGACCAAAUACCUCACAGGGAUGAACUCAGAAGCAGGGGGAUUUCUUUGGACUCUGGGCUUGCACAGAAGUUCCCUACCUAAGGGAGGCUCAGAAUGAGACUUGCAGCCUCAGAGUCAAUGAGAAGAUAGACUCUGCACUUGGGGUACAUUCAUCCAUGUCCUCUUGAAACAGCUUCUCAAUCCUCCUGCCAUGUCUCUCUGCUCAGGAUGUUCCCGCCACUGAGCCUGAGCCUGGCAUCCAGGAAGCCCUAGCCAAGAGCCUAGCAGUGACCAUUUGUCUACCCAGUGGCGGAUCAGCCUGGAGGUGAAAUGAGGAGAGUCUUGGCUGUAGGCACGGUCCCAGCAUCAGUGGGGUCUUGGGAGACUUUGACCAUCAGUAGAGGAGGUUUGGGGGGACAAUAUUAUUAAACUAAAAUGACCUUUGCCAAGA